AGGUCCUUGGGCUUGCUUGCGGUUGUUACUAACACAAGCUUGCCUUAAAUGUAUUAGCUGGAUUUCAGUAGAGUUGUUAAGUAACAUUGAAAACUCUCGUAAUACGAAGUCUGCUUCUAACCCGCUGUCUAUUUUUCGGAAUAGUCACACAUAUUCAUUUCUUUGGCCUCAAAUCAGGUAGGACUACCCGCUGAACUUAA
rnacentral:misc_RNA from 1 species